rnacentral:snRNA from 1 species
CUGUUCUUAUCAGUUUAAUACCUGAUACGUCCUCCAUUCGAGGACUUUAUAUUAAAUGGAUUUUUAGAGCCAGGAACUGGAAGAGGGGCUUGCUCCGUCCGCUCCAUGCAUCGACCUGGUACUGCAGUACCUAAAGGUGC